rnacentral:rRNA from 1 species
GACGAACGCUGGCGGCGUGCUUAACACAUGCAAGUCGAACGGAAAGGCCCUGCUUUUGUGGGGUGCUCGAUUGGCGAACGGGGGAGUAACACGUGAGUAACCUGCCCUUGACUUUGGGAUAACUUCAGGAAACUGGGGCUAAUACCGGAUAGGAUCUCCUGCUGCAUGGUGGGGGUUGGAAAGUUUCGGCGGUUGUGGAUGGACUCGCGGCUUAUCAGCUUGUUGGUGUGGUAGUGGCGUACCAAGGCUUUGACGGGUAGCCGGCCUGAGAGGGUGAACGGCCACAUUGGGACUGAGAUACGGCCCAGACUCCUACGGGAGGCAGCAGUGGGGAAUAUUGCACAAUGGGCGGAAGCCUGAUGCAGCAACGCCGCGUGCGGGAUGACGGCCUUCGGGUUGUAAACCGAUUUCGAAUGUGACGAAGCGUGAGUGACGGUAAUGGGUAAAGAAGCACCGGCUAACUACGUG